CCCAUCUCCAUCCCUGUGUUUCCCAUUCCCAUCUCCAUCCCUGUUUUCCCUAUCCCAUCUCCAUCCCUGUUUUCUCCAUUCCCAGGUGUGUUGGUGUUUCCCAUUCCCAUCUCUAUCCCUGUUUUCCCAUUCCCAGGUGUGUUGGUGUUUCCCAUUCCCAUCUCUAUCCCUGUUUCCCAUUCCCAGGUGUAUCCCUGUUCUCCCCAUUCCCAGGUGUGUUGGUGUUUCCCUAUCCCCAUCUCUAUCCCUGUUUCCCAUUCCCAGGUGUGUUGGUGUUUCCCAUUCCCAUGUGUAUCCCUGUUUUCCCAUUCCCAGG